ACGAACGCUGGCGGCGUGCUUAACACAUGCAAGUCGAACGGAAAGGCCCUGCUUUUGUGGGGUGCUCGAGUGGCGAACGGGUGAGUAACACGUGAGUAACCUGCCCUUGACUUUGGGAUAACUUCAGGAAACUGGGGCUAAUACCGGAUUGGAGCUCCUGCUGCAUGGUGGGGGUUGGAAAGUUUCGGCGGUUGGGGAUGGACUCGCGGCUUAUCAGCUUGUUGGUGGGGUAGUGGCUUACCAAGGCUUUGACGGGUAGCCGGCCUGAGAGGGUGACCGGCCACAUUGGGACUGAGAUACGGCCCAGACUCCUACGGGAGGCAGCAGUGGGGAAUAUUGCACAAUGGGCGGAAGCCUGAUGCAGCAACGCCGCGUGCGGGAUGACGGCCUUCGGGUUGUAAACCGCUUUCGCCUGUGACGAAGCGUGAGUGACGGUAAUGGGUAAAGAAGCACCGGCUAACUACGUG
rnacentral:rRNA from 1 species